rnacentral:tRNA from 1 species
GCGACAUUAGUUUAAUGGUAGAACAGGUCCCCUCCAAGGAUCGGGUGAGGGUUCGAUUCCCUUAUGUCGCUCCA